rnacentral:lncRNA from 1 species
AGCCUGGACCCCGCUGAUUUGUUGCUGUCCGUAGUCCUUGAUCUCACGCGCCUUGUCCAUGAUCUUGUGACGCGCGCUGUCUAACUGAUCCGCGCCAGGUGGUUGCUUGCCGGUGACGUACCUGUAGAUCCACGCCAGCACCGUGAUCGCCGCCACACCGAACCCACUCGAGGCGAGGAACCCCAGGCUCAGGAGCGCAACGGUGAUUACGGCGGGGACGAGAACCGGACUGAAAAUGACGAACAGCGGGGUGACGAUGGUGAGGGCAAUGACGGUGGCGGCGAGGAUCAACGAGGCGAGGAUCAAGAGGGAGCCGCCCGCUGUGACGGCGGUGGCGGCCUUGACGACCUGGUGGGUGGAGGAACGGGUUUGUUGGUGUGGAUCGUUAGGGUAGCGGAGGGGGUAUUGGUGUUGUGGUUGGUAGUGAAGCUCAGCCAUAAUGUGUGGGAAUUAUGAAAAUGAAAGAGAAGAGUUUUGAGUGAAGAGUGAGUGAU